rnacentral:rRNA from 1 species
UACGAAGGGUGCAAGCGUUACUCGGAAUUACUGGGCGUAAAGCGUGCGUAGGUGGUUUGUUAAGUCUGUUGUGAAAAGCCCCGGGCUCAACCUGGGAAUGGCAAUGGAUACUGGCAGGCUAGAGUGCGGUAGAGGGUAGUGGAAUUCCCGGUGUAGCGGUGAAAUGCGUAGAGAUCGGGAGGAACACCAGUGGCGAAGGCGGCUACCUGGACCAGCACUGACACUGAGGCACGAAAGCGUGGGGAGCAAACAGGG